rnacentral:misc_RNA from 1 species
AAGGAUCAUUACCGAGUUAGGGUGCCUCGUCGCGCCCGACCUCCAACCCUUUGCUUACUUGACCUAUUUUGUUGCUUCGGCAGGCCCGCCGCCCGGAAACGGGUGGCCGCCGGGGGCGUUUCACCGCCCCGGGCCCGCGCCUGUCGAUGGCCCUAUUAAAACUCUUGUCAAAACGUGUCGUCUGAGUUUAUCUAAACAAAUACAAACCAAAACUUUCAACAACGGAUCUCUUGGUUCUG